rnacentral:rRNA from 1 species
ACGAAGGAAGAAGGCUUACGGUGGAUGCCACAGGCACCCAAGACGGAAGGGCGUAACAGCGAAAUGCGCUGAGGGGUUGAAAUAAGCGUAGGUGGAAAUUCCCGGAAUAGGUUGUACUUUGAACUACUGCAGAUCGCGGCGGGCAGAACAACCUGGCGAACUCGACAUCUGGCGUAGAGGAAAGCAAAAGCGGUUGUGGCGGCAGGCGAAAUGAACGCUAAACCGUGAAAGCAGGGUUGUGGAAACAAUAUGACGUCGUGCUGCUAGGCGAAGCGGUGGAGUGCCGCACCUAGAUGGCGAGUCCAGCUGGCCAGCGCAUCACUGGCUUGAAUGCUGGCCCAGGUAGCGUGGGGCGUGGAAUCCGUAGAUCGGACCACCUUGCAAGGCUAAACUCCUCUGGUGACCGAUGGCGAAGUGAUGCCGUGAGGGAAGGUGAAAGACCCCAUCGGGGGUAAAUAGAACGUGAAACCGUAAGCUCCCAAGCGGUGGGAGGCCCUGAACUCUGACCGCGUGCUAUUGAAAGAUAGACGGCGACUCAUGGGCGUGGCGGAUUGGGGAACCCCACCGGGCCGUGGCAAGCGGGUCUUCGCAGGGCAAUUCUCACUGCUUAUGGUUGAACCUGCGUGAUCUAUCUAUGACCAGGAUGAAGCUUGGAUUACGAGCAGGUAGGUCGAACCGACUGAUGUUGAAAAUCAGCGGAUGGUUGUGGUUAGGGGUGAAAUACCAUCGGGCAAGAGCUAGCUGGUUCUCCCAAUGCGUUGAGGCGCAGCAGUUGACUGGACAUCUGGGGUAAAGCACUGUUUCGUUGCGGGCCGCGGUGAUGCAAAUCGGUAAACUCGAAUACCGCAGAUAUGACCUCAAAUAACUGGGGUCAAGGUCAGCCAGUGAAGACGGUGGGGAUAAAGCUUCAUCGUCGAGAGAAACAGCCCGGUCUGGCUAAGGCCCUAAAUGACCGCUCGGUGAUAAAGGAGGUAGGGGUGCAGGAACAGCCAGGGAGGUUUGCCUGAAACAGCCACCACCGAAAGAGUGCGUAAUAGCUCACUAGUCAAUCUUGCGCCGAAAGAUGAGCAGAUAAACGUCUGCGCGAAGCGCUGGGAUGUCAAAUGCAUCGGUAGGGAGCGUUCCGCCUUAGGGAAACAACCGCGAGCGGCCAGUGGACAAGCGGAAGCGAGAUAAUAAACCGAUGCCGCAAACAUUGGUGAGAAAUCCAUGCCAAAAGGCCAGGUUCCUCCGCAAGGUUCGUCCGGAGGGUAGUGGGGUGCAGAUCGAUGAAAGGCGUAGUCGAUGGACAGGUGAAUAUUCCUGCAUACUACCUUGUUGGUCCCGAGGACGGAGGCUAGGUUAGCCGAAGAUGGUUAUCGGUUCCAGAACGCAAGUGUCCUGUUUCCAGAUGAAGGGUGAAAAUGCCCCGAGCCAAUGUUCAAUUACCAGGCGCUACGGCAAAGUAUUAUGCUACUCCAGGAAAGCUCGAACGACCUUCAACAAAAGAAAUUGCCCUGCGAAAUACGACACAGGUGGUGGGUAAGAAUACCCUGAGGGCGCGAGACAACUCUCUCUAGGAACUCGGCAAAACUAAUACGUAACUGGGAAAGUGCCUCCUCUAAAGGGGUCGCAGUGACCAGGAGGUGGGCGAUAUUUGCAAAACAGGUCUCCGCAAAGUCGUAAGACCAUGUAUGAGCUGACGCCUGCCCAGUGUUUUGAUUAAGGAAGUUGGUGACCUGAUGACUGGGGAACGGCGACCAGCCCCGGUGGUGGCAGCCAUGCUUCAUAACGGUCCUAAGGUGAAAUUCCUUGUCGGGUAAGUUCCGACCGCACGAAAGGCAUGGCAAUCUGGGCACUGGCAUCUCAGAGGCUCGGUGAAAUGGUAUGUCUGUGAGAUGCGGACUACCUGCCUGGACGAAGACCUAUGAAACUUCACUGUUCCUGGGAUUGGCUGGGCUUUCCUGCAGCAGGUGGAAGCGAAGGCCUCCUUCGGGGUGAACCAUCGUGAAUACCACUCUGGAGAGCUGCAAUUCUAAUAACGGUAAUGGGACCUACGGGCCGAGGACAGUCUCCAGGUAGGCCAGUUUCUAUGGGGCGUGACCUCCAAAAAUGGCAAGAGUACAAAGAGUUUCCUCGGGCCGAGACGAUUGGCCUCGGUGCAAGGAGCAGAGGGCUGACUGCAAGACCCACCGUGAGCAGGACGAAAGUCGGCCUUAGUGAUCCGACAAUUGCCAGUGGGAAGGGCCGUCGCUCAACGGAUAAAGAUUCUCUAAAGGAUAACAGGCUGAUCUUUACAGGCUCACAUCGACGGGACAGCACCUCGAUGUCAGCUCUUACAUACCUGGGCUGUAAAUGUAUUCAAGGUUGGAACCUUUCUAACCACGGAAGGACAAGGACACCUCCUGGUGUACCGUUAUCGUGCCCACGGUAAACGCUGGGUAGCCAAGUGACGGUGCUGCGAAAGCAUCGUAAUAGCCCACCCCAAGAUGCGGUCUCUCCUAUUCCAGCUUACAGAGCCUCCGGUGCUGGCCGAGACAGCAGCAGGUUCUACGCCCUGCGAAAUGACAGGUGACAAGUUUGAAAUUCAAGAAGGUCACGGCGAGACGAGCGUUUAUCAUUACGAUAGUGUCAAGUGGAGGUGCAGUGAUGUAUGCAGCUGGGCAUCUAACAGGCCGGUAGACGACGUUCC